CCAGACUCCUACGGGAGGCAGCAGUGAGGAAUAUUGGUCAAUGGGCGGGAGCCUGAACCAGCCAAGUCGCGUGAGGGAAGACGGUCCUAUGGAUUGUAAACCUCUUUAGGCGGGGAGCAAUGCCGGGCACGCGUGCCCGGAGGGAGAGUACCCGCAGAAUAAGCAUCGGCUAACUCCGUGCCAGCAGCCGCGGUAAUACGGAGGAUGCGAGCGUUAUCCGGAUUUAUUGGGUUUAAAGGGUGCGUAGGCGGAGUGUCAAGUCAGCGGUAAAAUUUCGGGGCUCAACCCCGUCGUGCCGUUGAAACUGACACCCUUGAGUGAGUGAGAAGUAAGCGGAAUGCGCGGUGUAGCGGUGAAAUGCAUAGAUAUCGCGCAGAACUCCGAUUGCGAAGGCAGCAUGCCGGCUCCACACUGACGCUGAGGCACGAAAGCGUGGGUAUCGAACAGGAUUAGAUACCCCUGUA
rnacentral:rRNA from 1 species